ACUCAAUAGAUACCCCGGUAGUCCACGCCCUAAACGAUGUCAACUAGGUGUUGGGAGCGCAAGUUCUCAGUACCGCAGCUAAACGCGUGAAGUUGACCGCCUGGGGAGUACGGUCGCAAGAUUAAAACUCAAAGGAAUUGACGGGGACCCGCACAAGCGGUGGAUGAUGUGGAUUAAUUCGACGCAACGCGAACAACCUUACCUACCCUUGACAUGUCUGGAACCCUGCUGAAAGGCGGGGGUGCCCGAAAGGGAACCGGAACACAGGUGCUGCAUGGCUGUCGUCAGCUCGUGUCGUGAGAUGUUGGGUUAAGUCCCGCAACGAGCGCAGCCCUUGUCCUUAGUUGCUACGCAAGGGCACUCUAAGGAGACUGCCGGUGACAAACCGGAGGAAGGUGGGGAUGGCGUCAAGUCCUCAUGGCCCUUAUGGGUAGGGCUUCACACGUCAUACAAUGGUCGGUACAGAGGGUAGCCAACCCGCGAGGGGAGCCAAUCCCAGAAAGCCGAUCGUAGUCCGGAUCGCAGUCUGCAACUCGACUGCGUGAA
rnacentral:rRNA from 1 species